CCCAGGGCCUGCGUCCCGCACGCAUGUUGCUCUGCCGCUGGGUCUCUCCUAUCGCUGCUCACUUCAGACCUCGCCAGCCAAGACUUCCCUCCCAGGAUGUCUAUUUGGAAAGGAAUCCGUGGGUACGACUUCUCCCACACACCCCGGGGGCUUUGCCAAAUUCCGAAAAGGGAGCCUCUCCGCAAGGUAUGGAAGAUGACUGGACUAAAAUGACACCUGCCUGUCCUGGCGGAUGGGUCAGCCGCCGUUCCCGUGUACUUGCUUAGGGAGUCAAAGACAGCUGUAAAGCUGGCAGGAAUGCAGAUGAAAGCAACUUCCAUUCAUGUCAUCUUCAAAUUAUUUUCAAACACACCUCUGCUUUAUGACUGCUCAUGUCAUUUGUAAUUUAAAGCUCAAACAAACGAUGCAUUAUUUUAUGCUCAUUUUUAAUUUGCAGAGAGAAAAGUCAGGAUUUAUAAUUAAAGAAUGUGGCUCAAAUUCAAGGCCUGUUUAGUGGGAAGCAGAGAAAAGAUCAAACAUGUGACUGAAGAAUACAUGAAAAAAAAAUUUCA